GAAACGCGAUAGUUAAUGUGAAUUGCAGAAUUCAGUGAAUCAUCGAGUCUUUGAACGCACAUUGCGCCCUUUGGUAUUCCGAAGGGCAUGUCUGUUUGAGCGUCAUUACAACACUUCGAUCUCAAAUUUUUGAGAACGGUCAUGAGUCUGUUUAUGGGGGACCUGAGGGAAAUUUUUCCCUCCUAGAUACCUUCAGACUUUAAAUACACUAGUGAACGUUCUGCGAGCGUAAUUCGAUUUGGAAAACAUGAUGCAGUAUUUUAAAUAGUAUAACCGUUAUGUUUGAAGAAAUCUGCGCAACCGCCUGAAUAACCAGGAAUAUUAACCUCUUUAGGUUUGACCUCAGAUCAGACAAGGAUACCCGCUGAACUUAA
rnacentral:misc_RNA from 1 species